ensembl:lncRNA
GGACACUAUGUACUGUGUUGGUGUGGUGUCUCCUCCCAGAUCAGGACACUAUGUACUGUGUUGGUGUGGUGUCUCUUCCCAGAUUAGGGCACCAUGUACUGUGGUUGUGUGGUGUCUAUGACCUCCCAGAUCAGGACACCAUGUACUGUGUUGGUGUGGUGUCUCCUCCCAGAUCAGGACACUAUGUACUGUGUUGGUGUGUUGUGGGUAUUGAGAUUAGGUUAGCGUGAAGGCCAGAUGUAUUGUGGGUAUGGAGAUUAGGUUAGCGUGAAGGCCAGAUGUAUUGUGGGUACUGAGAUUAGGUUAGCGUGAAGGCCAGAUGUAUUGUGGGUACUGAGAUUAGGUUAGCGUGAAGGCCAGAUGUAUUGUGGGUACUGAGAUUAGGUUAGCGUGAAGGCCAGAUGUAUUGUGGGUAUUGAGAUUAGGUUAGCGUGAAGGCCAGAUGUAUUGUGGGUAUUGAGAUUAGGUUAGCGUGAAGGCCAGAUGUAUUGUGGGUAUUGAGAUUAGGUUAGCGUGA